rnacentral:ncRNA from 1 species
AGGGAUCGGGUUAAUAAUCGCGAACCCGGACACGGAGAUUGGUCCUUCGGGGCCCAGUGCGGUAACGCAAACCAGCUCGGAGACGCCGAUGCGAGCCCCGGGAAGAGUUUUCUUUUCUCUGUAAGGAGAUCGAGUCCCUGGAAUGGGUUCGCCCCGAGAUAGGGAUGGUGGCUCCGUAGAGCAGUGCGGUUCUUGCGCUGUCCGGUGCGCUCGCGUCGGCCCUUGAAAAUCCGAGUGAGGGAGUGUGAUUUUCGUGCCGGACCGUACCCACAUCCGCAGCAGGUCUCCAAGGUGAACAGCCUCUAGUCGAUGGACCAAUGUAGGUAAGGGAAGUCGGCAAAACGGAUCCGUAACCUUGGGAUAAGGAUUGGCUCUGAGGACUGAGCCGGUCGGGCUGGGGACCUGAAGCAGGAACGGCACUGCACCGGGACUGGGCGGGGCUCGCCGUUCACGCGGCGCGGCCAAGCCCGGACCAGCGUCGGGACCUUCCUGUGGAAAGCCUCAGCUGCGCGGCGUCUGAGGGCUUCGUGCCCAAAGUGCUAUGCUUCGGCCGGCAAAAAACAGUCAACUCAGAACUGGCACGGACCGGGGGAAUCCGACUGUCUAAUUAAAACAAAGCAUUGCGAUGGCCGCUGGUCGGUGUUGACGCAAUGUGAUUUCUGCCCAGUGCUCUGAAUGUCAACGUGAAGAGAUUCAUCAAAGCGCGGGUAAACGGCGGGAGUAACUAUGACUCUCUUGGCAAAACUAAGUGACUCUCUCGAGUCACUUAGUUUUGCCUCGGCCGCGCUUGUCUCGCGCGCCGAGUUCCAACCGGUUGUUUCUUCGGACGGGUCUACACGUGUAUGAGACUGCUGUGUGCACCCGGACAACACCCCAAACCCCCCGCUGCCCUUGGAAGGGUACCAAGGCCACGUCGCACAAUUCAGCACAUCUCCAAAACCCGUGAGCAGUCAACUGUUGUGGCCUCUUUCACCCCACAACAACCGCUCGUUUUCGACUGCCGGAGAUAGUGCUUGGUGCUUGUGGGUCGUUCGGUGCUACCCCGAAAGUGUUUUCUUUUUUUUUCUUCUUUUUAGUCUCAGUGCGUUGAACCGCGCACGGCUGACACUGGUUCCACUGCCUUAUUUUUUUUUCCUCUUUUAAGGCAGCUUUUGGGCGGAUCUUAGCCCGAAUCUCGCGCGCGGACUAAGAGUUCCCGCGACUGUACUUGGUUGCGCCGGCGGUCGAUAGAGGGCGGUA